rnacentral:rRNA from 1 species
UACGAAGGGUGCAAACGUUGCUCGGAAUUAUUGGGCGUAAAGCGCACGUAGGCGGCUUUGCAAGUCGGAUGUGAAAUCCCUCGGCUCAACCAAGGAAGUGCAUCCGAAACUGCAGAGCUUGAGUACCAAAGAGGAUCGCGGAAUUCCCGGUGUAGAGGUGAAAUGCGUAGAUAUUGGGAGGAACACCAGUGGCGAAGGCGGCUACCUGGACCGGUUCUGACGCUGAUGCGCGAAAGCGUGGGUAGCAAACAGG